rnacentral:misc_RNA from 1 species
GUGUGGAGAACUGAGAAGGGAGCAUAUUGGCGGUGGUGCAUGGCCGUUUGAAACGGAUGGCGUGAGCUGAGGAUUAAUUUCCGGAAGGCGUGAGACCCACAAGACAGGUUGUUUGGAUGACAGGAGGGGGUGGAACAGAACAGGUCCGUUAUGCCCUGAGAUGUCCUGGGCGGCACGCGCACUACGAUACGUGUAUGAGAUGUGUGAGGGAUGAAUGUGUGGAAUGGCAUUCUGAACGUGGAAUUCCUAGUAAUGGUGGCUCAACAAGCCGACGUGAAUGUGUCCCUGUCCUUUGUACACACCGCCCGUCGCUAUCUGAGAUGGCACAUGGGACGAACACCGAGGGGUGUGAGUCUUCUGUGGUAGAUGAGAUAUAAGUCGUAACAUGGCUGCGGUUGGAGAACCAGCUGCAGGAUCAUCAUAUUAAGUAUGGCAGUGAGUUAGUGGGAAACAAUUGAGUAUGUCAAAUAUUAGAUUACAGUUAUUAGAUUUACAGUGGAUGAGUAGUAAUUUUGUUAGAUUACAGUGAUUAGACUUGAGUGAAUGUAUUGUAUUAUGGGAAUGAAUGAGUAGUGAACAGUUAAUUGUAAGAUUUAUGAUAAUGAUAACAGGUAGUUAUUAACGGUAAUGAAACAUAGCUACCUAUUAAGGGUAAACAUCACACACAGGAUUGCUUGGCAUCUAUGACGAGGAAGGACGUAAGAGAAGACGAGAAGCACGAGGUGUCUGAAUGGCACGGAGACGUGGGGAGACCCCCUUGACUUAAGCAUAUCAGUAAGGGGAGGAGAAGAAACCAAAUGGGAUGUCCU